rnacentral:rRNA from 1 species
UGGGGAAUAUUGCACAAUGGGCGCAAGCCUGAUGCAGCCAUGCCGCGUGUGUGAAGAAGGCCUUCGGGUUGUAAAGCACUUUCAGCGGGGAGGAAGGCGAUAAGGUUAAUAACCUUGUCGAUUGACGUUACCCGCAGAAGAAGCACCGGCUAACUCCGUGCCAGCAGCCGCGGUAAUACGGAGGGUGCAAGCGUUAAUCGGAAUUACUGGGCGUAAAGCGCACGCAGGCGGUCUGUCAAGUCGGAUGUGAAAUCCCCGGGCUCAACCUGGGAACUGCAUUCGAAAGUGGCAGGCUAGAGUCUUGUAGAGGGGGGUAGAAUUCCAGGUGUAGCGGUGAAAUGCGUAGAGAUCUGGAGGAAUACCGGUGGCGAAGGCGGCCCCCUGGACAAAGACUGACGCUCAGGUGCGAAAGCGUGGGGAGCAAACAGG